ACACAAGCGUGGAGUAUGUGUUUAAUUCGAAGAUACACGAAGAACCUUACCAGGUCUUGACAUACCAUUGACAGGCGCAGAGAUGUGCUCUCCUUCGGGCAAUGGAUACAGGUGGUGCAUGGUUGUCGUCAGCUCGUGCCGUGAGGUGUUGGGUUAAGUCCCGCAACGAGCGCAACCCUCAUUGUUAGUUACUACCAUUCAGUUGAGGACUCUAAUGAGACUGCCAACGAUAAGUUGGAGGAAGGUGGGGAUGACGUCAAAUCAUCAUGCCCUUUAUGACCUGGGCUACAAACGUACUACAAUGGCCAAUACAAAGAGAUGCGAAGCGGUGACGUGGAGCGAACCUCAGAAAGUUGGCCCCAGUUCAGAUUGCAGGCUGCAACUCGCCUGCAUGAAGCUGGAAUCGGUAGUAAUCGCGGAUCAGCCACGCCGCGGUGAAUACGUUCUCGGGCCUU
rnacentral:rRNA from 1 species